GACUCCCGAGCGGUCUUGCCUGGUGAGCGCGCACGCACCAGGCCUGGAAAGGCGGCCUCGGGGAGACCGAAAAGAGGGCAGAAGGGGAGGGAAGAGAAAAGAGAGGAAACAUCAGGGAAGGAGGAGGAACCAUCUUCCUCUCACCCCCUGCCACUCCUAGUCUGUUUUGUAAGCUGAUGUAUCUCAAGGGCCUGGAACAGCACCUGGCACAUCAUAGGCGCUCAGUAGGUUCCCAAGAUGAGACUCCCCAAGAAGAAGGAAAACAUAAACUCACGUCCAUCCUCUUCCAGGUAUAGAAGUUGACCUUGGUGUCUGGGACAGUGAUAUUCUCACUGAAGCUGCAGCCUUCAGCACAGCCCAUCUGAAAUGCACGACCCCUGAGUCAGGCUCCCCGAGGGCUCCCCUCCACCACUGCCCCUUACCUAGCUUCCAGCUUGUCGCUCCCACCCCGAACCUUCCCAGCGCUCGGGUUCUGCCUCCUUGGCCUUCAUUCAAUCCCCGCCGCCGCCGCGGUGAGCACACCCCACCCCCCAAACUACCGGC